UACGUAGGGUGCAAGCGUUGUCCGGAAUUAUUGGGCGUAAAGAGCUCGUAGGUGGCGGGUCACGUCGGGUGUGAAAGCCCGGGGCUUAACUCCGGGUCUGCAUUCGAUACGGGUCUGCUGGGGUCCGGCAGGGGAGACUGGAAUUCCUGGUGCAGCGGUGAAAUGCGCAGAUAUCAGGAGGAACACCGGUGGCGAAGGCGGGUCGCUGGGCCGGUACCGACGCUGAGGAGCGAAAGCGUGGGGAGCGAACAGG
rnacentral:rRNA from 1 species